GAGCGCGUAGCUCAGCCGGUAGAGCACGUGACUUUUAAUCACGGGGUCCUGGGUUCGAGCCCCAGCGCGCUCA
rfam:Bradyrhizobium yuanmingense strain BR3267 contig1042, whole genome shotgun sequence.